ACAAAGUUUCUCCCACAGCUGAGCAUUUACACGACAGUCUUACCUUUUACUUAUCAAAGAUGACUUACAAGUUUUUAAUUUUAGUCAUUUCUACAUUUCAUUUCGAUGGAUCUUUUGGUAAAGACGCUGUCAAUCAACCGAAGGAGGAAAGAACUGUCAUUGAGAGAGAGCAGAUUACUCUGAAGUGUGAAUAUGAAACACUUCAAUCUGAUCCAUAUCUUUACUGGUACAUUCAGCGCUCAAACAAACACCCUGAAUAUAUACUGAUGAGAUACAAAUAUGGAUCAAGCAACAGUUCUGAGUUUAAAGACAGAUUUGAUGCAAGAUUGGACACAAGAUCAGUUCCUCUGAUCAUUCAGGAUGUAGAUGUGAGUGACUCUGCUGUGUAUUACUGCGCUCUGCAGCCCACAGUGCUCGAUCACGAAGCUGAUCAGCUUAUACAAGACAAGCGGUUUAAAUCUGAAACAUCUCAAUCAUCCACUAAACUGAUAACAGACCGUGUGUCUCUGUCAGAUUCAGCUCUAUAUUACUGUGCUCUGAGAGAUGUAGCCCAGUGA